rnacentral:rRNA from 1 species
UACGUAGGGUGCAAGCGUUGUCCGGAAUUAUUGGGCGUAAAGAGCUCGUAGGCGGUCUGUCGCGUCGGAUGUGAAAAUCCAGGGCUCAACCCUGGACCUGCAUUCGAUACGGGCAGACUAGAGUUCGGCAGGGGAGACUGGAAUUCCCGGUGUAGCAGUGAAAUGCGUAGAGAUCGGGAGGAACAUCUGUGGCGAAGGCGACUACCUGGCCUGUUCUUGACGCUGAGGCGCGAAAGCUAGGGGAGCAACGGG